GACAGAGGGUGCGAGCGUUGUUCGGAAUUACUGGGCGUAAAGCGAGUGUAGGCGGUUGCCCAAGUCAGGUGUGAAAGCCUUGAGCUCAACUCAAGAAAUGCACUUGGUACUGGGUGGCUAGAGGACCGGAGAGGAUAGUGGAAUUCCCAGUGUAGUGGUGAAAUACGUAGAGAUUGGGAAGAACACCAGUGGCGAAGGCGGCUAUCUGGACGGUUACUGACGCUAAGACUCGAAAGCGUGGGGAGCAAACAGGG
rnacentral:rRNA from 1 species